UACGUAGGGGGGCAAGCGUUGUCCGGAUUUAUUGGGCGUAAAGAGCGUGUAGGCGGCCUGACAGGUCUGCUGUGAAAACUCGAGGCUCAACCUCGAGAUGUCGGCGGAAACCGUCUGGCUAGAGUCCGGAAGAGGAGAAUGGAAUUCCUGGUGUAGCGGUGAAAUGCGCAGAUAUCAGGAAGAACACCCGUGGCGAAGGCGGUUCUCUGGGACGGUACUGACGCUGAGACGCGAAAGCGUGGGGAGCGAACAGG
rnacentral:rRNA from 1 species